rnacentral:tRNA from 1 species
AGUAAAGUCAGCUAAAAAAGCUUUUGGGCCCAUACCCCAAAAAUGUGGGUUAAAAUCCCCCCUCUACUA